UCCUGAUCGCCAAAUUGUUAU
rnacentral:piRNA from 1 species